GGAGAUAGCAGUCGGGGUGGUCCUGACGCCCGCCCGCUAAGCGGGUCACCCUUCGGGGUGCCGGUUCGAGUCCGGCUGUCUCCG
rnacentral:tRNA from 1 species